UGGCUCAGUGGUUAAGAGCUUGGUUGCUAACCAAAAAGCCGGUAGUUCGAAUCCACC
rnacentral:tRNA from 1 species